AGAGACAGCAGUAGCCGCGGGAAUACGUAGGGUGCGAGCGUUAAUCGGAAUUACUGGGCGUAAAGCGUGCGCAGGCGGUUGUGUAAGACAGGUGUGAAAUCCCCGGGCUUAACCUGGGAACUGCGCUUGUGACUGCACAGCUAGAGUAUGGCAGAGGGGGGUGGAAUUCCACGUGUAGCAGUGAAAUGUGUAGAGAUGUGGAGGAACACCGAUGGCGAAGGCAGCCCCCUGGGCCAAUACUGACGCUCAUGCACGAAAGCGUGGGGAGCAAUCAGGAUUAGAUACCCCAGUAGUCCCUGUCUCUUAUAC
rnacentral:rRNA from 1 species